AUCUAGCUGACGAGUCUCACAUCGGACGAAACGAGCAUCUUGGAU
rnacentral:hammerhead_ribozyme from 1 species